GAGAAAGUAGUUAAUAAUAACAUUUAAAUUGCAAUUAAAAAUUGUCUUAAUAGACCUUUCCCA
rnacentral:tRNA from 1 species